AUUGAACGCUGGCGGCAGGCCUAACACAUGCAAGUCGAGCGGAGCGGCGGACGGGUGAGUGAUGCCUAGGUAUCGGCCUGGUCGCGGGGGAUGGGGUCCGGUACCGGGCGCUAAUACUGCAUCCUAUCAGUUGAGCCUAGAUCGGAGUAGCUAGUUGGUGGGGUAAGGGCCUACCAAGGCGACGGUCCGUAACUGGCCUGAGUGGACGAUCAGUCACACUGGGACUGAGACACGGCCCAGACUCCUACGGGAGGCAGCAGUGGGGAAUAUUGGACAAUGGGCGAAAGCCUGACCCAGCAAUGCCGCGUGUGUGAAGAAGGUUUUCGGAUUGUAAAGCACUUUAAGUUGGGAGGCGUUAUCGACAGAAUAAGCACCGGCUAACUACGUGCCAGCAGCCGCGGUAAUUC
rnacentral:rRNA from 1 species